GGGACCCAGCCGCAGGGAUAGCUUUCUCCACCCAGCGGUCACCGCCCGCGCCCUGCCCUCAAGGAGCUGGCGUGUCGAACGCCGGGCAGAAGAUGCUCAGGAAAGUGCGAGAGGCGAGAAGCUGAUUCCCGGGGUCCCAAAGGAAGGAGAAACAGGGCCACAGGAAGACGGCUCCACUUGGCCUUGACGGUGAAGAGUUGGAAGGACACUCUGGCGUGGGAGCUGCACGGCCAGAGGUGUGGUGGUGGGGAUGCCCAUGCAGGGCCCCUGGUUCUCUAACCGCAUUACCUUCAGGAUGGAUGGGUGACAGCGAUGGAUGGGCCGCUGGAUGGCCAGUGACCGGACCUCCAGGAGAACUUCCAGCCCAACACCCCCAGCCAGUGGACAGGUGCCCACUGGGUCCCCUGCAUCCUUACCCUCCAUCCCCACCCAGGUAACACCCGCUGCGGGUGGGCCACAUGGUCUCUGGAGGUCAUAUUUAGCCUCAGAUGGGCGUUCACUGCCUGAGAGAAGCCAUCAUUUGUGGGACCACCCUCCCCACCGCCAAGGUCCAACGUGUGCCAGCCUGCAGGGCAGCAGCUCUCACCUCCCCGCCAACAGUGCCAUAGACCCCAGCCCAGCACUGCCGGGAACAGCCCUGGGAAGAGCUCUGAUCCCAAUUCCAACAGCUGGUGCUAAGCAUCCAGGAGAAUUCGACCCCCAGGGGCUCCCCCAACACCCACGGGCCUCUGCAGCUUGAGUUGAGGGGCUUCCUACGUCUUCCUGGAAAAAGUAUAGAACGAAGAAGCCUGAAGCGUCUUUCAGAGUGAGGGCCGGCACACAUAUGCACACAUUCAUGCCAUCUUCCACCCACCCACCCAUCCCACAUGUUUCCUGUGCUCCUAUCACACCUGUGCUGUGGUCCAGACACUCUUCUAGGUGCCGCAGGUGUAUGUGCCAGCGAACACACUAGAUGGAGCCUUGCCCUUACGGAGCUGACUCUAGUGGGAAGAUACAAGAAACUGAUGACAAGUGAAGGUUUCAUCUAACGUCAGGCAGUGAGAGCUGCCGUGAGGAAGAAGCAGAAAGAGGGCUGCCCUUUCAGAUGGGGCGGUCAACUGGUCUCAGCCUCACUCACAUGAAGGGCCCUGGAUUUAGACAGCGGAUGUCUUUCCAAAUGACGCAAAGCCCUCAGUCAUGGGAAACAUAAUAUUUCCAGGGGGGAAGGUGUUCCUCAUGCAACUGUAAACACGUCUGCGUUCUCAGUCUGCACUGUCCUGGGUGCAGUAGGAAUUCAUCUUUUUCUAAACCGCUGGUGCCAACAGGGGCGGUGCUCCCUCCCCCGGGGCCAUUUGCAAUGACUGGAGACACUUUUUUUUAUAUAAAUUUAUUUUAUUAUUUGAUGUUAUUUAUUUUUAUUAUUUAUUUAUGUAUUUAUUUGGCUGCGUUGGGUCUUUGUUCCUGCGCCUGGGCUUUUCUCUGGUUGUGGCGAGCAGGGGCUACUCUGUCACGGUGCGUGGCCUUCUCAUUGCAGUGGCUUCUCUUGUUGUGGAGCACAGGCUCUAGGCAUGCGGGCUCAGUAGUUGUGGCACGUGGGCUCAGUAGUUGUGGCACACGGGCUUAGUUGCUCUGCAGCAUGUGGGAUCUUCCCGGACCAGGGCUCGAACCCAUGUCCCCUGCAUUGGCAGGCGGGUUCUUAACCACUGCGCCACCAGGGAAGCCCUGGAGGCAUUUUUAAUUGUCAUGACUUGGAGGGGGUGCUCGUGGCAUCUUGUGGGGCGAGGCCAGGGACGCUGCCAAACUCCUGCAGUCACACGACAGGCCAGGUGUCACCAGAGCAAGGCCAGGAACCCUGGGCUACACCCCAGAAUCAUCACUUGAUGUGCAGUUAUGCUGCAUCCAUGCUUUUUGUGUGCCAAAGGCAUUCGCUUCUUUCAUGUGAACAUUGAAAACAUAAGGGUGACCUGUUUGGCUCUUUAUUUCCUAAUAAAUUCAUCAAGUCAGAACCUCGAAACAUCGAGCGGUUGCCUGGGCCUGAGGGGAUGAGGGCUGCAGAGGCUCAGAUGCCAGGCCCAAGAGCUUGGAUGUGUCCCGGGGUGGGGAGCCCUUGGGAAGAUUUGAAGUGGGGGGAGGGAGAGGGACGUGAUCAGUUGCAUGUUCCAGAAAGAUCUCUCCACAACGAGACUGCUUCAUACCCAACAAACUGGUAAAAACGUAAAAGGCUGACAUGACCAAGUGGUGGUGAGAAUGCGAAAUUCCCAAAGCCUGCUGGUGGGAAAGUUCAUUGGGACAAGAAGUUUGGAAAUUCUUGGCCUUGUCCUGUCAGUGUGAGGGUGCUGAGUCCCUUGACUCAGUAGUUCCAGUUCUAGGCUUACCCCGCCCCCCCCCGGGAGAAGCGGGGCCUGGUGUCAUUCCGGGACUGCAGGACAUUGUAUAAACUGUCAUGUUG